rnacentral:lncRNA from 1 species
AGUUGGUAACAGUAGGUUGUUAGUGGAAUAAAUGGUUAAGAAUUCAAAGGUUCAUAACCUUUGGAAUUUGCUCGCUGACGGUCCAUCUUUUGGUAGGAUAAAGAGGUUGAGAAAGGGAAAUCAGGGCCAGACUAAGACAGUCAUAAGCUGGGAUAAGCUUGGUACUACCUCUUUGUUUUUUUUGCAUUUAUUAUUUUCUUAUGAAGAAUUGUGAUUGAGAGAAGGAUUGUUGAAAUUGUGAUUAGAAUAUUGUGGAAUAUGACUUUGUAUUGACUGUUUUGGAAAAAAUCGGUGACCUUAAGAAUUGAGAUUAUCAAAUUGUGUUGUAUUAAGUGAAGAUAUUGAAUUUUGUGUGAUGAAUUGAGAAAUUGAAUAUAAUAAGUAAGCUGGAGAUUAGUAAUUGAAUAUAUAUAAAUUACAAAGAGAGUAAGUGGGAGAUGAAUUAAUAAGAAUAUGGAAGUAUUGUUGAAUUGAUAUUUGUAGAAUGGAUUAUGUGUUGAAUUAAGAUGGAAGUAGUAAGCCUUGGUGUUUUGUAGUUUGAUAAUUGAUUUUAGAUAGCUAAAGUAUAGUCAAUUGUGAUACUAACAAACUUAAUUCAUAUAACUAGUCUUUUUUCAUGUUCAAACCUACCUCUAAUAGUUCAAUUUCUUUGGUAUAUUAAAGCUUGAACACAAUGAGAACAAUAUUUUGGCGCUGCUGCUGGGAAAAUGAUAACAAUAUGAAAUAUUAGAAAUUAAUUGUAUGGAAGAUGGAAUUAUAUGUUGAAUGAAAAUAUGAGAAGAACUAGUUUUAGGAUUACAAAUAUGUGAGUUAUAAUUCAAAGAAGUAUUGAUUUUAUAAAGAAGAAUGAAAGAUUAUAGAUGAUAAUUAUAAAGGAGAGGAUUAUCAAAGAAUUAAUCGAUAAGCGAAAGAAAGAUAGGAGGGGUUACGCACAAGAAAUCUCCUACAGAAACGACAAAAAAGAAUUGUAGGUCGAAGUAAAAUCAAAAGAAGAAAAAUUCAAAUUCAAAUAGCAAAGAGAUCAGUGAUAACACCAAUGGCUAUAGGAGUGCCAGAAGUACCAAUUGCGGUACAAAUAGAAGCAAUAGGAGACAGCAGUACAAGUGUGGCACCAUUACCUACUUUUGAUAGUUGACCGGGCUCUAAUCCCGAUCACCAUAUAUCUCAAUUCUUGAUAGCAUGUAUGGCUAAUAAUAGUAGAAUUGAAGAUAUUUGGUUAAGAUGGUUGUCAAUAAUUUUAAAAGAUAUAGCUUUUGAAUGGUAUAAUCGACAACCAGUGGGUAGAUUUUCCAAUUGAGAGGCCUUGAGGAAUGCCUUUCUAAUCCAUUUUAGACCAAUUGGAUUUGAAGAUCGGCUUAGAGAAAGUUUUAUGAAUAGCAGGAUGUUUGCGGAGGAAACAAUAGAGUCCUAUUAUGGCCAGAUCGUGGAUAUACUUCGUAAAUGGCCAAAUAAUCAAAUACCAGAUGCAUUUAUAUUGUCGAUAUUUAUUAACGGUUUGCAUCUACCAGAAUUAAAAAUGUUUGUAAAAGAGGCUCGACCAGCUAUGGUAGAGGCAUCGUUGGCAUGAGCAAAGCUGUGAGAAGAAUGUCAUUAUGACCAAUUGUUAAUAGUGGGGGCCACGAUGAUUCCAAGUUCAGAAAGCCAACAAAUACAAUCGGAAAAUGUAUCGAUGGGUAAUUAUCCACAAAUGGCUACCUCUAGUGUGAAGAAUGUUAUGUUGCAAAAACCAAUUAAUACUACCCCACUCCAAGCAAUAGCGCUAAUAACAAUGACACCUUAUUUUACAUCACCAAUCUAUCAACAACUGAAGUUGUUCACAAAUGCGACUAUUAAAGAUCCAAAUGAAGCCUUAUUAUUGAAUCUAACAAAGAAGAUGGAAGAAUUGGCCAUGAAUUUAGGUAAAGAUAAGGAGAAACAAUAUAAGGCUUCUAAUACGAGACCUAAUAUAUGGUGUAAUAAUUAUAAGGGGCAAGGUCAUUUUGAUACGAAAUUUCCAUCAUCCAGACAAACGAGUGUUCAAUGUACAUUUUGUGGAGGAAAGCAUCCUACCCAAAACUGUUAGCAUUUACAAAGACAACAACAGUUCAAUAACCAGACGUUAAUACAGCCAACUCAAUGAGAUGUUAAUCAAGUCCAGAUUGGAAAUAUGGGUGGUUGGAAUAGUAAUCGCCCAAAUUGACCUAAUCGUGGCUUUGGGAAUUUCCAAAAUAUUAAUUUUAAUCCAGUUUAUGGAACAAAUAUGUAGAACGAUGGAAAUAAUCAAGUGGAUAAUCUUCAAACUAUACCAAUUCAGUAGUCCAAUUCUCGAGCAAUAGCAACUGAUGAACUAUGAUCAUUUACUAUGGCUACUUGGAAUUGGCCUAGUAAAUAUAUUCCAGUGGAGACUCCAAGUGUAUUUGACGAUAUGGGUCGAAAACCACUUUGUUGCUAUCAAUGUCAGAAAAUUAGUUAUUAUGCCAGUGAAUGCCCUAAUCUAAGGUUUAUAGAUGAAUAUGCUAGAAUAUGUAGAAAUUACAAGCAAUCGGAUCAUUUUUAUUAUCAAUGCAAUGUUCCACUUAACCCUAAUAAUUAUGAUCAGAAGAUACAAUCGACUCUGUAAAUUAUAGAAGAAAAAAAUAACGAGACACAAGAAUCACCAAUUCAUUGGGUGGAAGUAGUCCAAGCUAUCCUUACAAAAAAUUAGCAAAGGGAUAAAGGACCAAUUCAAAUAUUGGAGGAACCAAUUCUUAUAAAUUGCGAUGGACUAUUAUUGGACAAAAGUAAUCCAGUAUAAUUUUUGAGUAGAAAUCUAAUAUUAGAUAUGGAUCAAUCCUCUCUAUUUAAUCCUGUUAAUAUAUUUGGUCGACCACCAAAUUUCAAGGAACCAAUAUCAGUCCAAUUAGGAGAACAAUCUUAUCCAUUGAAAGAACCGAUUUUACAUACUCCGUCAAAUUUAGUUCCAGUAGCUUUACCAAUUUCUAAUAUAGAGAAAAUCAAUUUACUUACGUCGGUGUCUAGGACUGGGAAGAAGAAACGGAUAUUGGAAAUUACUACUAAUACAGAACCAUAUGAUAUUCUAAAAGAUUUGGGCACCAUACAACCCACGAUCUCUAGGAAGCAACUAUUGGCGGUAGCACCUGAAUACUGAACUAUCUUGAAUUCCUCAUUAAUUUGUCACAGAUUUCGAAAUAAAGAAAUCCGAGAAGUAAGUUUGAAUCUCGAUCCGAGUGCUCCAACAAUUGAUGUCUCAAUUGAUGGAGUAUUAGUAUCUGGAGUGCAAGUAAAUGGAGGAUCUAAUAUAAAUCUUAUGAAUGUCGCUACAAUAGAAGAAUUAGGUUUGAAUCACUUAUUGCUUACUACAGUGGUUUUGAGAAUGGCUAAUUCCAAUCGAGUUAAACCUAUGGAUAUUUUACGAAGUAUUGAUAUAGUAAUUGUGGGAAUUACUUACAAAAUUGAUUAUAUUAUUUUUCGAUUACAGAGCUCUAUAUUGUCAUACCCAAUUUUAUUGGGGCAACCAUGGUUGUAUCAAGCUAAAGCUCGAAAUGAUUGGAGCCAUGGUACAUUGACAAUUGAGAAAGGUAAUGAUAAAAUUGUGCUUCAAAUGUACUGUGUCCAAUAUCAUGAAGAAACUCAAUUUGCCAGUUCAAAAUUCACGUCGGAUUGUGAAGAUGAGUCUAUAGAAGAAAAAAUUAGUGCAUCUGCUCCAAUUUAUGCAUGUUACAGGUGUUUGAGCAUUUGUCGAUCAUGUCAGUUAUUAUCAGCAAUUUACAUAUCUAUUUGCAGUUAUAUGCCUUCUCUUGACAAAUCUCUUGAAGAAACCACCAACCGAUGGGACCAGUCCAAUUUGGACAAAGAAAUGUAUAAUUGCAUUUGAAACAUUGAAACAAAAAUUGGUUUCAGUACCAAUAUUGGUGGUACUUUGUUGAACAAAACCAUUCUAAGUUUAUAUAGAUGCAUCUAAUAUUACGAUUGAUUCUGUGCUAAGCUAGAAAGAUGAUCAGGAUUUUGAUCACCCUAUUUAUUAUGUAAGUCGUCAAUUGGUAGCAGUUGAAAGAAAUUAUACAACAACCAAAAGAGAAGCAUUGGGGAUGAUUUAUUCCAUAUAAAAGUUACGACAUUAUCUUCUUGGUUAUAAAUUUGUUUUCGAUGUCAACCUUGAUGCUUUAAAAUAUAUGAUUAAUAAGCCUCAAUUGAGUGGUUGUAUUGCAUGAUGGAUUUUACUCUUAAAGAAAUUUGACUUUACUAUUCAGGUAAGACUAGAAAAAUCACAUUCCAAUGUGGACCAUUUAUCUCAGUUAUUCAAUAUAUUGGAUAAUGAAGCCAUUAACGAUACACUACCCAAUGCAAAAUUGUUUGCGGUAGAUGUAAUUACUCUGGAGUAUAGUGAAAUAAUUCAAUACUUGACAUUUCAAACCUUUCCACCCAAUUUUAAUGAAAAGAUUAUACGACGCUUAAUAUUAAAAUGUGCACCUUAUAUGAUGAUUGGUGAAGCUUUAUAUAAACAAGGCAAGGAUGGAGUUUUGCGAUGCUGUAUUUAUCAGAGUGAAGUGAGUAAUAUAUUGGAAGGUUGCUACUUAGACAUUUGUGGUGGAUAUUUUGCAGAGGACAACAGGGCCCAUAAAGCUUUAUAGGCUGGUUAUUGGCGGCCAACUAUGUUUGCAGAUGUCCACCAAUUCGUUUGUCAUUGUGACCUAUGUCAGAGAAUGGAUCAAACUAUUGGAACUUCAACAAUGCCAUUGUUUCAGGAGCAGGAAUAGAUUGGGACACUAAGUUGUUUACAGCUUUAUAGGCAUACCAUACUGCGUAUAAAGUUACUACCAAUACUACUCCUUUUCAAUUGAUUUAUAGCCAGGAAGCAAUAUUAUCUAUUGAAUUGGAAGUCCAAAGUUAAUGAAUUGCUAUAGAUAAUAGUUUGAGAGAUCAUGAUUUAUUACGGCACCGUUUAGAAGAAUUAGAAAAAUUGGAUGAAACUAGAGCCAAUGUAUUAAUGAUAAUGAAAACUACACAAAAAUAAAGGAAGACUUAUUAUGAUAGUAAGCUUAGAGUAAAGGCUUUUAUGCCAAAUGAUUUGAUACUUCUUUUUGAUAGUCAAUUUAAAAAUUUUCUUGAAAAAUUUCAAAUUCAAUGGCAUGGGCUAUAUCGAGUUAGUGACAGAUUUCCAAAUGGUUCAGUGUAAUUGGAAGAUUUUAUGGGUACUAAUUUUAUGACAUAGAUCAAUAACAAUCGCCUUAAACUUUACUAUAUAUAAAUCCAGGAUGGAUUUUCUGUUACAAUAGGGGGGGGGAUAAAUAAUGAUGAUGAUAUGGUAAUAAAUGUAAGGUGAUAAGAAGUGUGAGAAAUAUGGAUGGGAUUAGUGAUAGUGGUAGUAAAGACUGGUUGUCAGACCUAGUUACUAGGAUAUUUCAUCAUGACAAAUCGUGGAAAAUAAGGGAGAGUCGACCCAAUUGAUUGGACCAUAGUAAGAAGUAGGAGGGAGGCCCUUGACGAACAUCUUAUUUCUUUUGUGUAAGCAGCCGUGUAUGUGUGUUUUGAGAGAUUAGUUGUAAGUACUUGCUUGUGUUAGAAUACAAUGGCGAUUGAGAAGACUAAGAGGGAGUUGAAUAGGGAGGAGAAAUAGCACAAUGUAAGGCACAAGGAUGAGUUGCUACCAUUGGAGUAUAUUAUUGUGACAAAUAUGGAGCCGAUUUGAUUGGAUGUUUGUUAGACUAAAGAAAACUAGCAGGAUUUUUGAGGAGCAUAUAUGCAUGGAUUUUUGUACAUUUUGCAAAACUUACUACCAAUUGACGUUGCAUUGGUCGAGGUUAGGAUUAAGGAGAAGUAGAUGGUGGAAAAGAAGAAGGUGGUGAACAUGGUGUCUAAGAAAGUAAAGAUGGAGACCGAUUGGAAGGAACGGCAAGAGCGACUGCAGGUACAGGUUGCGAUGUUGUAAACUAAACCAGCCGCAUUAGAGAAGGAGGCCAAUAAUUUAGUGUCGACUAAUAUGCCAAUUUCAGUGACAACACCUUCGAAGAUACCUUUAAAAUAGACAAAAGAAUGGCAGAAGAUGUUGGAGGAGCACGAUAAUCAAAUUACUCGUCUUGAGUUUCAAGUACGAGAAUUGGAUUUGUUGAAUGAAGAUCUGACGGCACGUUUGGAUUGAGAACCCUUGAACACUGAGGUAGAUAACAAAGAUGUAAUAGAGGAGGAGGUCACUAAUUCAAAGGGUGGUAAGCCAACACCAUUGACUGAAGAAGCUAACGUUGCUACAUCUUUAUAAGUUGAAGCUAAAUAAUGUUUGUGAGAGCGCUGCACAAUUAGGAGUGGGACUAUGUAGAAUAUGUAAGUAAAUUUUGUGAUAAUUUUUUGAUUGGUUAUUAAUAACCUUGACAAUUAGACUUAUGAUUAGGUAGUUUAGUUAGUAACAAUAGGUUGUUAGUGGAAUAAAUGGUUAAGAAUUCAAAGAUUCAUAACUUUUGAAAUUUGCUAGCCGACGGUCCAUCUUUUGAUAGGAUAAAGAGGUUGAAAAAGGGAGAUCGGGGCCAGACUGUGAUAGUCGUAAGCCGAGAUAAGCUUGGUGCUACCUUUUUGUUUUAUUUGCUUUUAUUAUUUUCUUACGAAGAAUUGUGAUUGAGAGAAGGAUUGUUGAAAUUGUGAUUGAGAGAAGGAUUAUUGAAAUUGUGAUUAGUAUAUUGUAGAAUAUGACUUUGUACUGACUGUUUUGAAAAAAAUCUGUGACCUUGAGAAUUGAGAUUAUCAAAUUGUGUUGUAUUAAGUACAGAUAUUAAAUUUUGUGUGAUGAAUUGAGAAACUGAAUAUGAUAAGUAAGCUAGAGAUUAGUAAUUGAAUAUAUAUAAAUUACAAAGAGAGUAAGUGGGAGAUGGAUUAAUAAGAAUAUAAAAGUAUUGUUGAAUUGAUAUUUGUAGAAUAGAUUAUAUGUUGAAUUAAGAUGGAAGUAGUAAGCCUUGGUGUUUUGUAGUUUGAUAAUUGAUUUUAGAUAGCUAGAGUAUAGUCAAUUGUGAUACUAAUAGACUUAAUUCAUAUACUCAGUCUUUUUCCAUGUUCAAACCCACCUCUAUUAGUUCAAUUGCUUUAGUAUAUUGAAGCUUGAACACAAUGAAAAUAAUAAUAUCCAAUCACUUUUAUGAAUUUUUUGUAGCCUUAAGCAAUAUUGUUUAUCAAAUCUAUCUUUGUUCUUUAAGUAUGUCUCUUUUAAAUUUACAAUUUUUUUUUCUAUGUCCUCAGGCUUCCUCUCUAGCUAACAAAUUUGAAGUAUAAGAAGUUUUUUAUUAGACAUAU